GAUGAACGCUGGCGGCGUGCUUAACACAUGCAAGUCGAGCGAGUGAGUUCUUCGGAACGAUCCGGCGGCGGACGGGUGAGUAACACGUGGGCAACCUGCCUCAUAGAGGGGAAUAGCCUCCCGAAAGGGAGAUUAAUACCGCAUAACAUCGUUGAAGGGCAUCCUUCGAUGAUCAAAGGAGCAAUCCGCUAUGAGAUGGGCCCGCGGCGCAUUAGCUAGUUGGUGAGGUAACGGCUCACCAAGGCGACGAUGCGUAGCCGACCUGAGAGGGUGAUCGGCCACAUUGGGACUGAGACACGGCCCAGACUCCUACGGGAGGCAGCAGUGGGGAAUAUUGCACAAUGGGGGAAACCCUGAUGCAGCAACGCCGCGUGAGUGAUGACGGCCUUCGGGUUGUAAAGCUCUGUCUUUGGGGACGAUAAUGACGGUACCCAAGGAGGAAGUCACGGCUAACUACGUGCCAGCAGCCGCCGUAA
rnacentral:rRNA from 1 species